GGAUUAGCUAGUAGGUGGGGUAACGGCUCACCUAGGCGACGAUCCCUAGCUGGUCUGAGAGGAUGACCAGCCACACUGGAACUGAGACACGGUCCAGACUCCUACGGGAGGCAGCAGUGGGGAAUAUUGCACAAUGGGCGCAAGCCUGAUGCAGCCAUGCCGCGUGUAUGAAGAAGGCCUUCGGGUUGUAAAGUACUUUCAGCGGGGAGGAA
rnacentral:rRNA from 1 species